UUCACGGCCGAGCCCUGUCGGUUUGGGCCUUCAGGCCGAGCCCUGUCAGUGCUGUCAUGGAGUUGUUUAGUGGAGAAAUCACUACUGAAUACAAUUCCAAUAGAAGUGUGUUAAUCGGAGACUGUCUACAUAUAGAACUGCUUCACUACGUUUUGUGCUGAUGAGAUUUGGAUGCUUUUUAUUGCCCCAUUGAAAACAGACUUGUUAUAUUCACUACAGCGUGUUGUGUGCAAUUCAAAUAGGUUACAUCAUAAAUCAUUAAGUCAAUCUUUAAAAAAAUUAAAAAUGAUAAUCUGUGUAACCGUUCAUGUUACAAACCAUGUCUAGAUGGAUCAACUGUAAUUCACUCCAGACAAAAGUAUUUCACUCUACUUCUAGAAAAGUAUUCAUGCUUUUAAUGAAGCUUUUCACAAAUACUCUUGAGAGCAGUCAAGAGAACACGUGAAGUUCACUCUGCCCUUGUGCAAUGACCGAGAGACCCAGUCAGUCUCAUGUUCAAACCCCAUGUUGUAUAAUGUCUUUUCAAUUUUACCUUUCUGUUGUCGGUCAAAUGGUCAGUGCAGCACAAUUUAUUCACACGUGUGUAUUUUGUUUUUGUGUGUGUGUGUGUGUGUGUGUGUGUGUGUGUGUGUGCUGUUUUUCUUACCCUUGCUUGCUCUUUGAAUCUUUAUUUGUGUGUUAUUAACACUGUUGCUGUUGUCAGUGUUGGUUUUUCCACAUGUAACUAAGUUUUCUCACUAAUGUGUGUGUGUGUGUGUGUGUGUGUACUUUACAAAAGUAGACUACUUUGUAAAGUGUGUUGUGCACUUGAUGUCAUUUGUUGCAUUGUGGGUGCUAGGACAAAUAGUGUGAAGUCCCAUAUUUUCUCAUUGUUUGGCGUUGUCUAUUUCAUGUAAGCAGCCGUUUUUAUUUUGUAAAUAUUGUAAACAUGACAGGUCAUACAGUGAUGUAACAUUUGAACAAUGUUGCACAGAUGUUUUAAGAUAUUAAAAACUGGUCACUCCUACUUGAAUUAUUUGGCAUUUAAGUGCACUCUUAUUGAACUUUAUGUAUUGAUACACAUGAUACUGUUUUAAACGUUCAUGUGUAUCCAAUCAUCACAUUCUAUCAAAAGGAAUUUAAAUAUAUUGCAAUUAGUUGCAGGUAGUAGUUUUUUUUUCCCAUUGAUGGGCAAUAGAAUUUCAAAUUUGAAACGAUUCAUUU
ensembl:lncRNA